rnacentral:rRNA from 1 species
AUUGAACGCUGGCGGAAUGCUUUACACAUGCAAGUCGAACGGCAGCACGGACUUCGGUCUGGUGGCGAGUGGCGAACGGGUGAGUAAUGUAUCGGAACGUGCCCAGUCGUGGGGGAUAACGUAGUGAAAAUUACGCUAAUACCGCAUACGAACUAUGGAUGAAAGCGGGGGAUCGCACGACCUCGCGCGAUUGGAGCGGCCGAUAUCAGAUUAGGUAGUUGGUGGGGUAAAGGCCGACCAAGCCAACGAUCUGUAGCUGGUCUGAGAGGACGACCAGCCACACUGGAACUGAGACACGGUCCAGACUCCUACGGGAGGCAGCAGUGGGGAAUUUUGGACAAUGGGCGAAAGCCUGAUCCAGCCAUUCCGCGUGCAGGAUGAAGGCCCUCGGGUUGUAAAUUGCUUUUGUACAGAACGAAAAGGUUUCUACUAAUACUAGGAGCUCAUGACGGUACUGUAAGAAUAAGCACCGGCUAACUACGUGCCAGCCGCCGCGGUAA